rnacentral:rRNA from 1 species
AACCCUUAUCUUAUUUUACUAAAAUAAUCUUAGAACUAAUAAGAAACUGCCUAUGAUAAAUUGGAGGAAGGUGGGGACGACGUCAAGUCAUCAUGGCCCUUAUGGGUAGGGCUACACACGUGCUACAAUGAGUAAAACAAAAAGUUGUGCUAUACGGUAACGUAAUGCUAAUCUUUAAAAUUACUCUUAGUUCGGAUUGGAAUCUGUAACUCGAUUCCAUGAAGUUGGAAUCGCUAGUAAUCGUAAAUCAGAAUGUUACGGUGAAUACGUUCUCGAGCCUUGUACACACCGCCCGUCACACCAUGGAAGUAAAUUGUAUCAGAAAUAAUUUAAUUAUUAUAACGGUAUGAUUUGUAACUGGGGUGAAGUCGUAACAAGGUAGCUGUAGGGGAACCUG